CUUAGUCUCAGCGACUCGUCAGGGCAGUAUACGUUUAUCCUCAACGCGCAUUACGGGAGGCUAACUCUCUCCGGGCCGUGGUCCGGGGAUGCGGCCACCCACCUGGAAACAACCAGGAGUAAAGCGUCCCUGCUCAACGGUCGUUUGGACUUACC
rnacentral:other from 2 species